rnacentral:rRNA from 1 species
GAGCGGCGAACGGGUGAGUAACACGUGAGUAACCUGCCCCUGACUCUGGGAUAAGCCUGGGAAACCGGGUCUAAUACCGGAUACGACCAUUUCUCGCAUGUGAUGGUGGUGGAAAGUUUUUUCGGUUGGGGAUGGGCUCGCGGCUCUAUCAGCUUGUUGGUGGGGUGAUGGCCUACCAAGGCGACGACGGGUAGCCGGUCUGAGAGGGCGACCGGCCACACUGGGACUGAGACACGGCCCAGACUCCUACGGGAGGCAGCAGUGGGGAAUAUUGCGCAAUGGGCGGAAGCCUGACGCAGCGACGCCGCGUGGGGGAUGACGGCCUUCGGGUUGUAAACCUCUUUCAGCAGGGACGAAGUUGACGUGUACCUGUAGAAGAAGCGCCGGCUAACUACGUGCCAGCAGCCGCGGUAAUACGUAGGGCGCGAGCGUUGUCCGGAAUUAUUGGGCGUAAAGAGCUCGUAGGUGGGCUUGUCGCGUCUGCCGUGAAAGCCCGUGGCUUANCUACGGGUCUGCGGUGNAUACGGGCAGUCUAUAGNCUGUUAGGGGCAAGCG